rnacentral:rRNA from 1 species
CCUACGGGGGGCAGCAGUGAGGAAUAUUGGUCAAUGGACGAGAGUCUGAACCAGCCAAGUAGCGUGAAGGAUGACUGCCCUAUGGGUUGUAAACUUCUUUUAUAUGGGAAUAAAAUGUUCCACGUGUGGGAUUUUGUAUGUACCAUAUGAAUAAGGAUCGGCUAACUCCGUGCCAGCAGCCGCGGUAAUACGGAGGAUCCGAGCGUUAUCCGGAUUUAUUGGGUUUAAAGGGAGCGUAGGUGGAUUGUUAAGUCAGUUGUGAAAGUGUGCGGCUCAACCGUAAAAUUGCAGUUGAUACUGGCAGUCUUGAGUACAGUAGAGGUGGGCGGAAUUCGUGGUGUAGCGGUGAAAUGCUUAGAUAUCACGAAGAACUCCGAUUGCGAAGGCAGUUCACUGGACUGCAACUGACACUGAGGCUCGAAAGUGUGGGUAUCAAACAGGAUUAGAUACCCUUGUAGUC